AAUAUUAUUUUGAGAUCAUAGGGUAUUCAUCUUGGUGGAAUCAUUAAUAAUUUUAAUUAUCAUCUUUAGUUCUAAAUGAUAGAUCUUAUUUAUGUGUAUUAAAGAUUAUAUGGUAUAUAUAUAAAACUUUAAUUCAAAGAUUUCAUUUCUAAGUUGAUCAAGAGAUCUUUUAUCAUUGUGGUUGAGGUUGCUAAUAAAAUCCUUGAUUGCUAUCUUUGAAUCAAGAUAAAAGAUCUUAUUUAUAUGUCAUGCCCCCAAC
rnacentral:lncRNA from 1 species